CCAAUUGGCCAGCCCUGAUGCUUAGCCCAAGGAUUGAGCAAGCCCAAGUCAUCAUCACUGGGUGUCAGAUUUUAUUGGCAUGCUUUUGGGGAUGAUUUGUUUUGAGUGAUGCAUCUCUAUUGUUGUGUAGAAUAGUGCAUGCUUAAGUUUUACUAUAGAGAUUUACCGUGAUGCUAAUUGAGUAGCGAAACGCUUUGUGAGAAUGUUUACUGUGCUUGUAUGCCAGUACAGGAUGAUGAUCUAUGUGAAGAUCUAUGUGAUGAUCUAUGAGAUGAUCUAUGUGAAGAUCUAUGUGAGGAUCCAUGUGGUGAUUUUGUGUGAGUUUACUUUUGUGAUGAAAGAAUUUGUGGCCUUAGGAAUGUAUUUUUAUACAAAGGGCUGUGGCUUUGUAGAUUACUACAGCUUUGGAAAGGAUGGAGAUUCGAUGGUUAGGUUAACCGUAAUCGAGAGCAAUUAACUUGCGCUUAAAUUUCGGGACGAAAUUUCUUUAAGGAGGGUGGAUUGUAAUACCCGAAAAAUUCAAGUUAAUUUCCGAUGACGUUUUGGAAAUGAUUUCGUGGUCGUGGACACGAGUACGAAGCUUAGAGGAGUGUGGAAUUAGUUCGAACGAUUUUAUUUUGAAAACUGAACGUUUUAGGGGGGUCAAAGGAGUUGACUUUUUAUACAUUGGGAAAUUGGGAAAACUUCCUUCAUGAAAGUUGUAGAGCGCGUCGAUACGAGUUCGUGGACAUAUGGAACGUAAUAUUCGGAGUUCGUAUGAAUAAGUUACGAAUAUUUGAAAAUUGGGAUUUUCUAUAAAUAUGAAAAAAAAAUCCGAAUAUUGCAAAUGAGGACAGAAUUUCUGGAACUCCAGAAAUUUCUCCCCAUUUCUCUCCCGAGCCCAGCCGCGACCCCCUCCCUUCGUCACCUUCGUUCUUCCUCAUCCGGCCACCGAUUGAUGUGAAACAAAGUGGGUUUUUCUGGUCUCGACCCCCUUUACGAGUUUGUAGAAGAAAUCGAAGUGAAAUACGAGCUGUAUGAGGCUCUACAAGGUCGAGAAGAGAGCCUCGUCGGAGACGAAAUCGCUCUUCCCCACUUUUUCUGGGCUCUACUUUGUCUGGCCAUAUCUUCCUCUACAGGCCUCCGAUCGACCUGAUUCCAAAAGUAAUUUUUCUCACCGUGAAGUUUUCUACAACUUUCCAGAAGACAUCGACUUGAGAUAACCAUCGUGGUGGCCGCUAGAAGACCGAGAAGCCGCACAGCCGAGCUGGAAAUCGUCUUCCUUCGCCACCUUGGUUCUCCCAGCUCCGGCCACUAUAGCUCGAGUUCUUUGAGGGCUUUUCUAGCCCAGAGGAAGUAGAAGCUAUCCCCAAGAAGGCUUGCAGCGAUUUAAUCCGGGGUGAUCGAAUUUUGAAGAUUGGGAAACUAGGGUUCUUCGGGUUUCAAAACUUGCGAGGUGAUUGACGGUCUCCCUUGGGUGAACGAUUUCGGUGUGUAUUGUGUUGAAUUGAAGACGCAGCGGGAAUAUCGAGCGGGUAAUCCUGCAGGUCAGGAGAAUCAGGACGGUGAUCGUGCGGGUUAGAGAAUUUGUUUUAGUUUUACAGCAAUUGUAAUUGUGAGGUGAGUUAUGCUCAUUUGAGCCUUACAAUAUAAUUUGGUGAGAGUGUGCUGUAAUAAACAAAUUUGAGAUUUGGUUUAUGUAAUAUCGAGCGAUGUGAGGUGUGGUUGUUUUGAGAAAAAAAAAUUCAGGUUGUAUUUAUGUGAGUUGUAUUAAUUCAUGUUUCGGAUUUUGAUUUGUAUUUAAAAUUCGGGGCGUGACAUACAC